GACGAACGCUGGCGGCGUGCCUAAUACAUGCAAGUAGAACGCUGAAGGAGGAGCUUGCUUCUCUGGAUGAGUUGCGAACGGGUGAGUAACGCGUAGGUAACCUGCCUGGUAGCGGGGGAUAACUAUUGGAAACGAUAGCUAAUACCGCAUAAGAGUAGAUGUUGCAUGACAUUUGCUUAAAAGGUGCAAUUGCAUCACUACCAGAUGGACCUGCGUUGUAUUAGCUAGUUGGUGGGGUAACGGCUCACCAAGGCGACGAUACAUAGCCGACCUGAGAGGGGGAUCGGCCACACUGGGACUGAGACACGGCCCAGACUCCUACGGGGGGCAGCAGUAGGGAAUCUUCGGCAAUGGACCGAAGUCUGACCGAGCAACGCCGCGUGAGUGAAGAAGGUUUUCGGAUCGUAAAGCUCUGUUGUAAGAGAAGAACGAGUGUGAGAGUGGAAAGUUCACACUGUGACGGUAUCUUACCAGAAAGGGACGGCUAACUACGUG
rnacentral:rRNA from 1 species